CCAGGUGUGUAAGAAUAGAAACUCCCCUUCUUCACAAGUAGCGGAAUGAAAGAAGUUCACAAAAUUUCUAAAGUCAGUUAUUUUAUGUGGAUGGUCUUCCCGGUUUUUGCACAGAAGGAAGAUGAGACGAAUACGCUGAUGGAGAAGGCUGAAGGAAAAAGAUGCUAAGUCCAUUCUGCUUGGGCCACUGUCAACAAGAACUACUGUUGCACUUAAUGUUAAAUAGUCUUUUGUCUGUGAUUCAUCUGCACAUUAGAAAUGAUACUUCUGAAAACCAAACCAGACUCUGGAGAAAGAUGAGAAUGAAACUGGAGAAAACAACUGGAAGUUUGUUUUGGGGAGGAAUCUGUCAAUCAGUAUGA
rnacentral:lncRNA from 1 species